CAGGACCGUCAUAACAAGAAGGUCACUAAAUGACCUUUGACGGUCCUGAACCGUCAAAAAAUUAAAUAAGCUUAGAAAGUGAUCAAGGAUCACUUUCUUCGCUUAAACGGCCUUGCUGCAAUGCCUCGAUGUCGAGGCAUUCAGCAAGGCCGAGAUCGGCAUCGGGGGCCAUGUCUGGCCCCUCCCGGGGCGUCAACAGCCGCCAUACAUUGUAUGGCGGCGGACGCCCGUUUUAAAAGCGUUUAGGAGGCGAUCAACGAUCGCCUCCUAAACUUAAAUGGUGUCGCUGGAAUGCCUCGAUCAGGAGGCAUCCAGCGACACCAAACACUUACCUCUGGGUGGGCUGUGACCACUCCGGAGAGUGGUCACAGCCGCAGCUGCCGGUGAUCUUCGCCAUCCGCAAGAUGGCGGCGGCCCGGGAAAUAAAACAAUAAAGGUGAAAAAGUUCGCUAGAUGGUCUCCAGACCCUCUAGAGAACUGGCUCCACUUGCUGGUUGAAUACAGGUACUGCAUUCAACCAUGCAAGUCAAUGGAGCCCAGCUUUCUAAUCACUAUGUGAUUAGUAAAAUAUUCAAAAAAAAAUAAAAAAUGGAAAAAAAAAAUAAAAAAAAAUGUGCUAACAUUUAAAAAUAAUUAUGCAGUGAUGUCACUAGAUGAACCAUCCAGUACCAGCAAAAUGUGUAAAAAAAUUAUAAAAAAAUAAAAUAUUUAAAAAAAAAAAAAAUGUGCUAACAUUUAAAAAUAAUUAUGCAGUGAUGUCACUAGAUGAACCAUCCAGUACCAGCAAAAUGUGUAAAAAAAAUAUAAAAAAAGUAUUAAAAAAAUAAAAUAAAAUUAAAAAAUAAAGUUUAUUAUUUUGAGCAAGUGCUAAAAUUUCUCAAAAAUCUCAACAAAGAGUUAAAAAAAAGCACUUCAAAUACCCAAGGGGUGUCUAAUAUAUAAAAAAAUGGAUGAUGGGGUAAAUUGGAGUGGCCGAGCUCAAAGAUAGGGCAUAGGUACAGACUGACCAAAAUGGAGAAAAAAGCGCACUUCCCAAAUGUGGCAUUUUAAAUCUGAAACAACCCGACAAACCCAUGCAUGUCGGGUAUCACUGCACUCAGGAGAUGUUCCUGAACACACAUUGGGGUGUUGUUUGACAGUGACAUAUACCAGGACCUGUAUAUCUAUAACUAAAGUACAAUUUGUGUGAAAAAAAAAAUAAAAAAAAUUACUAUUACAAAGUUUGACAAAGUGUAGUUCUAUAAUUGGUGCAUGGAAAGGGUUAAAAUAACAGCAUUUGGAAUACCCUGGGGUGUCUAGUUUUCAAAAAUAUAUGGUUUGAAUGGGUUAAAUUGAGUUAACCGGCUUCAAAGAUGUUCCAAAGAGGAGAUGGAGGCAGACUGACCAGAUUUGUUAAAAAAGAUUUGGAAAUCAUAAAACGCUGCUAGUACUUACUGCCCUAUAACUUACAAAAAACAGCAAAAACACAUAAAAACAUUGGGUAUUUCUAAACUCAGGACAAGUAGUAGAAUCUAUUUAGCUAGUUUUUUUACUUGCUUUUUUAGGUGAGUAAAAGGUUUUUCAAAUAAAAGUCAUAAAAUGUGUUUUUUUCAAUUUUUCACCAUGUUUUUUUUAUUUUUUUAUAGUAAAUAAGAUGAUACGAUCAAAAUAAUGGUAUC